UACGUAGGGGGCGAGCGUUAUCCGGAUUCAUUGGGCGUAAAGCGCGCGUAGGCGGCCGCCUAAGCGGAACCUCUAACCCCGGGGCUCAACCUCGGGCCGGGUUCCGGACUGGGCGGCUCGAGUGCGGUAGAGGAGAGCGGAAUUCCCGGUGUAGCGGUGGAAUGCGCAGAUAUCGGGAAGAACACCGAUGGCGAAGGCGAUUCUCUGGACUGUAACUGACGCUGAGGCUCGAAAGCGUGGGGAGCAAACAGG
rnacentral:rRNA from 1 species